AAGCAUGCAUCAGCCACAUCCAUGCUAUCUCCUAAAGCAGUCAUUCUGAAACCCAAUCUGGGGACAGUGCAGACUAAAUAAAAUUUCAUUUUGAUUUGGCCUCCCGCUGAGAAUGGGACUGCUUUGUUUCAGCCGACAGAACCAGCAAGCCAGAAAGGUGUUGAAUACACAAAUACUGACUUAACAGAAAAUUAUAUUUGGAUUUGGCUUGCUUGAUGCUGGACGAUUAAUGAAGGAAGCCCUAACUGGACAAAUGUUGGUCUCCUGAGACAAUGUGUUGUUGAUAACAGAAAAGGAUUGACAGUAAGAUGUGGAUGUUCGUCUUUAAUGAACUCUAGUCACCAAGUGGAAGCUAGCUAAGUUUGAUGAUGCAAUUGACCACCUUCUCAGCAACAGCUGAAUAUUUGCUCCUCAAAAGAGUAAGAGCAAGCCUGUUAACUGCAAAUGUGAAGAGAUGAAGCAAGCAAAACAGAAAAAGUGUGAAGAGCUUUGCUGCCAUAUCAUCCCUGUAUCAGAUAAUUUUAGGAUCAAUGAAUGAACAGGUAUGUAAAAGAGACUGCUAUUCUACAGAGAAGAGCUAUUCCAGAGAAAUUAAGGGGGAAAAAUUAAAAGGCAGAUCAGUACAUUGUCACUAUAUGAUGACAACAUAAGAGAAAGAACUUCAUUUGUCUUCUUUUAAAUUUGGAUCUUUACAGUGGAAGAGUACUACAGAGAGAUCUUGAUAAUAAUAUCUUUUAUCUUAUCAAGUGUUGCCACGGUACCAGUAUUUUUGUUUUCUUGUUGGAGUUACUCAUGUAAGAGGAACCACUCUGCUGUAUAAGUUAAAAGUUCACAUUCUGUCCUUCAUUUUUGCACUUUACAUUAUAAGACAUUUUGUUUACUAUAGAGGUAAUAGAUAUCAUCACCUUUGGUUAACCAUGAAAAUGUUGAUUUUCAAAUUACUAGAAGUUUUAAUUAUUCCAAUUAUAACUUAAUACUGCUGCAAUGACAUUUCACAUGCAGAAGUUAUAUCAGUGAAAAUCACUUAGGAUAACAGGCAGAAAUUAAAAUGUUUUCUCUGAAUAUUCACAGUACACUGGAAAUUGGGAGGUUAGGAUUUCUCACAGAUAAGACCAUCCAUUGCUGUGUUUCCCUCCAAGGAGUUACAUGCUACAUUCCCUUCCUCCCUUAUACACUAAAGCAAGAGAAGCAUUUCCCUCACUAGUGGGGAUUCAGUGGUCUUCUUUGUCAGGCACUAGUUUUGGUGGUUUUGGCGCUGUACAAGGCAGAAGAUAUGGGAGAUGUCUGGAUUGUCAGCCUCAAGUGGUUACUUUAAAUGCCAGAGGUGAAGGAAUUCUGGAAAGAGCUGAAAAAAUACAAGUAGAUUAAUUUGCACUUCACAGAAGUUUCUGUUAGACUAGAGACAGAAAGGGACUGAAUGAGACAGGAAGGGAAGAAAACAUAGAGGCAAAGUAAUGGCAAAAAUUAAACAUUAAAUAUUUCCUUUAACUGCACUCAGAGAUGGGGAUUAUAUUUGACCAAACAACCAAAUCCUCCACCACAAGUCAGAGCUAAGGCUAACUCCACUUUUUCAUUUCAAUACUUUCAACAGAAA